rnacentral:rRNA from 1 species
CUAAAUACUCCUGACUGACCGAUAGUGAACCAGUACCGUGAGGGAAAGGCGAAAAGAACCCCGGCGAGGGGAGUGAAAAAGAACCUGAAACCGUGUACGUACAAGCAGUGGGAGCACGCUUAGGCGUGUGACUGCGUACCUUUUGUAUAAUGGGUCAGCGACUUAUAUUCUGUAGCAAGGUUAACCGAAUAGGGGAGCCGAAGGGAAACCGAGUCUUAACUGGGCGUUAAGUUGCAGGGUAUAGACCCGAAACCCGGUGAUCUAGCCAUGGGCAGGUUGAAGGUUGGGUAACACUAACUGGAGGACCGAACCGACUAAUGUUGAAAAAUUAGCGGAUGACUUGUGGCUGGGGGUGAAAGGCCAAUCAAACCGGGAGAUAGCUGGUUCUCCCCGAAAGCUAUUUAGGUAGCGCCUCGUGAAUUCAUCUCCGGGGGUAGAGCACUGUUUCGGCAAGGGGGUCAUCCCGACUUACCAACCCGAUGCAAACUGCGAAUACCGGAGAAUGUUAUCACGGGAGACACACGGCGGGUGCUAACGUCCGUCGUGAAGAGGGAAACAACCCAGACCGCCAGCUAAGGUCCCAAAGUCAUGGUUAAGUGGGAAACGAUGUGGGAAGGCCCAGACAGCCAGGAUGUUGGCUUAGAAGCAGCCAUCAUUUAAAGAAAGCGUAAUAGCUCACUGGUCGAGUCGGCCUGCGCGGAAGAUGUAACGGGGCUAAACCAUGCACCGAAGCUGCGGCAGCGACGCUGAUGCGUUGUUGGGUAGGGGAGCGUUCUGUAAGCCUGCGAAGGUGUGCUGUGAGGCAUGCUGGAGGUAUCAGAAGUGCGAAUGCUGACAUAAGUAACGAUAAAGCGGGUGAAAAGCCCGCUCGCCGGAAGACCAAGGGUUCCUGUCCAACGUUAAUCGGGGCAGGGUGAGUCGACCCCUAAGGCGAGGCCGAAAGGCGUAGUCGAUGGGAAACAGGUUAAUAUUCCUGUACUUGGUGUUACUGCGAAGGGGGGACGGAGAAGGCUAUGUUGGCCGGGCGACGGUUGUCCCGGUUUAAGCGUGUAGGCUGGUUUUCCAGGCAAAUCCGGAAAAUCAAGGCUGAGGCGUGAUGACGAGGCACUACGGUGCUGAAGCAACAAAUGCCCUGCUUCCAGGAAAAGCCUCUAAGCAUCAGGUAACAUCAAAUCGUACCCCAAACCGACACAGGUGGUCAGGUAGAGAAUACCAAGGCGCUUGAGAGAACUCGGGUGAAGGAACUAGGCAAAAUGGUGCCGUAACUUCGGGAGAAGGCACGCUGAUAUGUAGGUGAAGUCCCUCGCGGAUGGAGCUGAAAUCAGUCGAAGAUACCAGCUGGCUGCAACUGUUUAUUAAAAACACAGCACUGUGCAAACACGAAAGUGGACGUAUACGGUGUGACGCCUGCCCGGUGC